rnacentral:rRNA from 1 species
AGUUUGAUCCUGGCUCAGAUUGAACGCUGGCGGCAUGCCUUACACAUGCAAGUCGAACGGCAGCACGGGAGCUUGCUCCUGGUGGCGAGUGGCGAACGGGUGAGUAAUACAUCGGAACGUGCCCAGUCGUGGGGGAUAACGUAGCGAAAGUUACGCUAAUACCGCAUACGAUCUAUGGAUGAAAGCGGGGGAUCGCAAGACCUCGCGCGAUGGGAGCGGCCGAUAUCGGAUUAGCUUGUUGGUGAGGUAAAGGCUCACCAAGGCGACGAUCCGUAGCUGGUCUGAGAGGACGACCAGCCACACUGGAACUGAGACACGGUCCAGACUCCUACGGGAGGCAGCAGUGGGGAAUUUUGGACAAUGGGGCAACCCUGAUCCAGCCAUUCCGCGUGAGUGAAGAAGGCCUUCGGGUUGUAAAGCUCUUUCAGCAGGAACGAAACGGUGGCCACUAAUACUGGCUACUAAUGACGGUACCUGAAGAAGAAGCACCGGCUAACUACGUG